CUUUCAGACUUUUCCAUCUUUGCAGCAGGGGGAAAAGCCCAGCUCUCACCACUAGUGCCGCACAACGAUCCCUCUAUCUUUGCAGCUGGGAGAAAGAGUUUAGCUAAGAUCCUGAAGCCCCUAAAGAGCAAAAAGUAGCCAGUCGAGAUAAUUCAAUUUAGUGACAAGAAUCUACAACAAAAAAUAAAGUUGUCCUACGAAGAGGGGGGAUGGUUUUCUAUACUAUCUAUACUAUUUUCAUACUGAUUUAAUUGUUCCUUAAGUCAUGCAUU